rnacentral:rRNA from 1 species
AACGAACGCUGGCGGCAUGCCUAACACAUGCAAGUCGAACGAGACCUUCGGGUCUAGUGGCGCACGGGUGCGUAACGCGUGGGAACCUGCCCUUAGGUUCGGAAUAACUCCCCGAAAGGGGUGCUAAUACCGGAUAAUGUCCUCGGACCAAAGAUUUCUCGCCUUUGGAUGGGCCCGCGUUGGAUUAGCUGGUUGGUAGGGUAAAAGCCUACCAAGGCGACGAUCCAUAGCUGGUCUGAGAGGAUGAUCAGCCACACUGGGACUGAGACACGGCCCAGACUCCUACGGGAAGCAGCAGUGGGGAAUAUUGGACAAUGGGCGAAAGCCUGAUCCAGCAAUGCCGCGUGAGUGAUGAAGGCCUUAGGGUUGUAAAGCUCUUUUACCCGGGAUGAUAAUGACAGUACCGGGAGAAUAAGCUCCGGCUAACUCCGUG